GAAACUUUUCAAGUAGCUUUGAAAUAAAUAGAAAAAGGAGCCUUUUUUUUCCCUGAAAUUAGCACAUGAUACCAGGUAUUCCUUCAUGAAGUUUCUCUUCAGGGAACAGAAGUUCAAUCUAUUCAGCACCCCUUCUUUUACAUGAUCUACUUUAAACCUGAUACAAUGCAGCAUGCUCAGAGAGGACAAUGUUAUUGUUGUUGGCUCUAACACGUCAAAACAACAGUCUUGAAAACUUGUGUCUAAAGAUGUGAUGUCACUAUGUUGACAGCAGAGCAGAGAUGAAGCAUCCUGGUAAGUUUCUCAUUUUGUCACUGUUUUGCUUACAAAGAAGCAAAAUUGCUUCUGACAGUGUCUUGGUGACACCACUAUUUGCAGCUAGGCCAGUAGUC
rnacentral:lncRNA from 1 species